AGUGAACGCUGGCGGUAGGCCUAACACAUGCAAGUCGAACGGCAGCACAGCAAGAGCUUGCUCUUACGGGUGGCGAGUGGCGGACGGGUGAGGAAUACAUCGGAAUCUACUUUUUCGUGGGGGAUAACGUAGGGAAACUUACGCUAAUACCGCAUACGACCUACGGGUGAAAGCAGGGGAUCUUCGGACCUUGCGCGAUUGAAUGAGCCGAUGUCGGAUUAGCUAGUUGGCGGGGUAAAGGCCCACCAAGGCGACGACCCGUAGCUGGUCUGAGAGGAUGAUCAGCCACACUGGAACUGAGACACGGUCCAGACUCCUACGGGAGGCAGCAGUGGGGAAUAUUGGACAAUGGGCGCAAGCCUGAUCCAGCCAUACCGCGUGAGUGAAGAAGGCCUUCGGGUUGUAAAGCCCUUUUGUUGGGAAAGAAAAGCAGCAGGUUAAUACCCCGCUGUUCUGACGGUACCCAAAGAAUAAGCACCGGCUAACUUCGUG
rnacentral:rRNA from 1 species